rnacentral:rRNA from 1 species
AUACGUAGGGUGCAAGCGUUAAUCGGAAUUACUGGGCGUAAAGCGUGCGCAGGCGGUUUUGUAAGACAGUGGUGAAAUCCCCGGGCUCAGCCUGGGAACUGCCAUUGUGACUGCAAGGCUGGAGUGCGGCAGAGGGGGAUGGAAUUCCGCGUGUAGCAGUGAAAUGCGUAGAUAUGCGGAGGAACACCGAUGGCGAAGGCAAUCCCCGGGGCCUGCACUGACGCUCAUGCACGAAAGCGUGGGGAGCAAACAGGAUUAGAUACCCUGGUAGUCCACGCCCUAAACGAUGUCAACUGGUUGUUGGGGAUUUAUUUUCUCAGUAACGAAGCUAACGCGUGAAGUUGACCGCCUGGGGAGUACGGCCGCAAGGUUAAAACUCAAAUGAAUUGACGGGG